rnacentral:rRNA from 1 species
ACGGAAGGCAGCAGUGAGGAAUAUUGGUCAGUGGGCGAAAGCCUGAACCAGCCAAGUCGCGUGAAGGAUGAAGGUAUUAUGCAUUGUAAACUUCUUUAGCAGCAGAGUAAUAAGGGGGUCGUGACCUCCGAUGCAAGUAUGCUGAAAAUAAGGAUCGGCUAACUCCGUGCCAGCAGCCGCGGUAAUACGGAGGAUCCGAGCGUUAUCCGGAUUUAUUGGGUUUAAAGGGUGCGCAGGCGGUUUUUUAAGUCAGUGGUGAAAUCGGGAGGCUCAACCUCAUCACGCCAUUGAUACUGGAAGACUUGAUUGCGGUUGAGGUUGGCGGAAUUCGUCGUGUAGCGGUGAAAUGCAUAGAUAUGACGAAGAACACCGAUUGCGUAGGCAGCUGACCAAGCCGUAAAUGACGCUCAUGCACGAAAGUGCGGGGAUCGAACAGGAUUAGAUACCCUGGUA